rnacentral:lncRNA from 1 species
AAAAGGAAAUGGAAAGAAUAAAGUGCAUAAGGUGAAAUAAAAUGUACCAAUCCAUGUGUGUUGACCAAAUGACAUUGAAAGUCAAAGUCAAACAAUGAGAAAGGUCAAACUUCAAAAUCACUUCAAAAUAUUUUUUGGCAUUUUUAAUAUCAAAAUAAACUUGAAUUAAAAAAUAAAAGAAAGGUCAAACUUCAAAAUCACUUCAAAUCAACCUUGAAAGGUCCAAGUGAU